GUGAGGAAUAUUGGUCAAUGGGCGGGAGCCUGAACCAGCCAAGUCGCGUGAAGGAAGAAGGAUCUAUGGUUCGUAAACUUCUUUUGCAGGGGAAUAAAGUGCAGGACGUGUCCUGUUUUGUAUGUACCCUGAGAAUAAGGAUCGGCUAACUCCGUGCCAGCAGCCGCGGUAAUACGGAGGAUCCGAGCGUUAUCCGGAUUUAUUGGGUUUAAAGGGUGCGUAUGUGGUUUGAUAAGUCAGCGGUGAAAGUUUGCAGCUUAACUGUAAAAAUGCCGUUGAAACUGUCGGACUUGAGUGUAAAUGAGGUAGGCGGAAUGCGUGGUGUAGCGGUGAAAUGCAUAGAUAUCACGCAGAACUCCGAUUGCGAAGGCAGCUUACUAAGCUACAACUGACACUGAAGCACGAAAGCGUGGGGAUCAAACAGGAUUAGAUACCCGAGUAGUCC
rnacentral:rRNA from 1 species